rnacentral:rRNA from 1 species
UACGAAGGGGACUAGCGUUGUUCGGAAUCACUGGGCGUAAAGCGCACGUAGGCGGAUAUGUCAGUCAGGGGUGAAAUCCUGGAGCUCAACUCCAGAACUGCCUUUGAUACUGAAGAUCUUGAGUUCGGGAGAGGUGAGUGGAACUGCGAGUGUAGAGGUGAAAUUCGUAGAUAUUCGCAAGAACACCAGUGGCGAAGGCGGCUCACUGGCCCGGUACUGACGCUGAGGUGCGAAAGCGUGGGGAGCAAACAGGG